GAAUUGACAGUUUUGAGCUCCAAAUUUGAACUAGGUUGGGGCCUAUAAAUACCCCACCCAUUCAGCACUGAAAGAGCACUGAACAUACACCGAAAUCUUGAUCUUGUUCUGUGAUUUUUAGAGCUCAAAAUUAUUGUAAAGGCCAAAAGUUCUUCUCCCUCUUUUCUUCCAAGUUCUGAGCUUUAAAGAGAGGAGAGAAAAUUC
rnacentral:lncRNA from 1 species